rnacentral:sRNA from 1 species
UUGACUUACAAAUGAGAAUCACUAUGAUUAUCACAUCCGGUCGCGAGACUGGCCGAUAACCUGAAUGGCUCCUUGGUUCGGACGCUCAGAUUAUCUCCUCAUCAGGCUAAUCACGGUUUUUGACCCGGCUCUUGCCGGGUCUUUUUUUG